rfam:Salmonella enterica subsp. enterica serovar Macclesfield str. S-1643 chromosome, complete genome.
CAAAUUCAUGCAGGAGUAAUAUGUUGGACAGUCACUUUUACGUAAAUCAUCUGGCAAGUUAACGCACGCUAUUCCUGCGCUGCUUGCCGAACCGGUGGGCAGCAAUCUCCCCU